rnacentral:rRNA from 1 species
UACGUAGGGUCCAAGCGUUAUCCGGAAUCACUGGGCGUAAAGCGUGCGUAGGUGGCGCGUAAGUGUGAUGUUAAAUCGUGGGGCUCAACCCUGUCGGUGCAUCACAUACUGGCGUGCUAGAGGACAGCAGAGGCAAGUGGAAUUUGUAGUGUAGCAGUGAAAUGCGUAGAUAUUACAAGGAACACCAAUGCGAAGGCAGCUUGCUGGGCUACUCCUGACACUGAGGUACGAAAGCGUGGGGAGCGAACAGG